CACUUACAAGCUAGCCCUCUCAUGCAAACCCAACAACCCAAUAUAACUACCCCCUCAUGACCAACAAAACAAACAAACAAAUCAUUUUUCCUCCCUAGUAUAGGCGAUAGAAAAGGAACCAAGGCGCAAUAGACAAAGUACCGCAAGGGAAAGCUGAAAGAGAAAUGAAAGAACCCAAUUAAGAAAAGAAAAGCAAAGAUGUAAUCUUGUACCUUUUGCAUCAUGAGUUAGCUAGUCAACCCAAGCAAAGAGCCCUUUAGUUUGUCCCCCCGAAACUAGGCGAGCUACUCCAAGACAGCCUAAAAUCAGGGCACACCCGUCUCUGUGGCAAAAGAGUGGGAAGAGCUUCGAGUAGAGGUGACAGACCUACCGAGCCUAGUUAUAGCUGGUUGCCCGAGAAAUGGAUACAAGUUCAGCCUCUUGGCCUCUCCCCUCAAUCUGUUCUUUAAUCCACACAGACACUUAAGAGCCCAAAAGAGUUAUUCAGGGGGGGUACAGCCCUCUUGAAAAAAGAUACAACUUUAGCAGGAGAAUAAAGAUCAAAAUAAUCAAGGAAGCUUCGUGUCUCCGUGGGCUUAAAAGCAGCCAUCCCGUCAGAGUGCGUUAAAGCUCAGACAUUUAACCAUUCCUUAAAUCCUGAUAAUAUACUCUUAAUCCCUGCCCAUAUCGAGCCGUCCCAUGCACCCAUGGGAGCGUCCAUGCUAGCAUGAGUAAUAAGAGAGCCAGACUCUCUCCCCGCACAAGUGUAUCUCGGAACGAACCCCGCACCGAUUAUUAACGGACCCAACCAAAGAGGGAAAUUGACCACAAAGAGGAUAACCUGAAGAACAUCAAACACAAGCCCGUUAACCCCACACUGGUGUGCAACAAGGGAAAGACUAAAAAAAAGAGAAGGAACUCGGCAAACACCCGAAGCCUCGCCUGUUUACCAAAAACAUCGCCUCUUGCAAAGCCAAUGAAUAAGAGGUAUUGCCUGCCCGGUGACAUAGAGUUUAACGGCCGCGGUAUUUUGACCGUGCGAAGGUAGCGCAAUCACUUGUCUUUUAAAUGGAGACCUGUAUGAAUGGCACGACGAGGGCUUAACUGUCUCCUCUUUUAAGUCAAUGAAAUUGAUCCCUCCGUGCAGAAGCGGAGAUACCCCCAUAAGACGAGAAGACCCUAUGGAGCUUUAGACACCAAGGCAGAGCAUGUUAAUACCCCCAAGACAAUGGGUCAAACACGAUGCAACCUGCCCUAUUGUCUUCGGUUGGGGCGACCACGGGGAAACACACAACCCCCAUGUGGAAUGGACACACAUUCCCUAAACCAAGAGCGCCAGCUCUAAGGAACAGUACUUCUGACCUAAAGAUCCGGCCAAGCCGAUCAACGGACCAAGUUACCCUAGGGAUAACAGCGCAAUCCCCUUUUAGAGUCCAUAUCGACAAGGGGGUUUACGACCUCGAUGUUGGAUCAGGACAUCCUAAUGGUGCAGCCGCUAUUAAGGGUUCGUUUGUUCAACGAUUAAAGUCCUACGUGAUCUGAGUUCAGACCGGAGUAAUCCAGGUCAGUUUCUAUCUAUGGCGUGUUCUUUUCUAGUACGAAAGGACCGAAAAGAAGAGUCCCCUGCCAAAGGUAUGACUCACUUUCACCUAUAGAAAACAACUAAAAAAGGCAAUAAAGCACAUCUCUAUUAGCCUGAGACUAAGGCAU
rnacentral:rRNA from 1 species